ACCAGAUCAGGGGCCCCGCCCUAGGUUGAGGCCAGGGUGGGGGUGGAGUGGGGCAGCCACACAGCCACAGUCGGGGAAACCUUGGACCUAAGAACUCUAGAAAGAGGCCAUCUGAGUAUGUACCACCUCACGGAUGCACAAGAGCUGUCCCCUCCGCCCAGGAUGCUGGUCCCUGAGACACCUAGCGACCUGUCACUGCUGUGAAGAAGGGGUCUACAGGAACCUCGUCUUCACACCACACCAUGGUAACUGUGCCUAUGGCCACAGGGACCAAGAUGGAAGACUGAGUCCACCCUCACCUCUGCCUGGUCCUGUUCCCCCAACCAACCCUGCAGUCGAUGCAGACUGGACUCAGACCUCCAACCCUAUCUUCUGCAGCCCUCUUCUGGCCCCCUUCCUCCCUGGCCCAACUCUUUCUUCCCCAGCCUGGGCCACCCUCUGCUGAACCCGGCUCUGGUCCUGUUUGCCUACCCCAUUGCCAGUCCUUGACUCAGCCAUUCCUGUUUCCUGGUUGGAAGCCAGUGGCCCACUCAAAAUAACUAGUCCCUUUCCCUGGGUCAGAGAACAGCUGCAAGGGAUUAGGGGAAGGACUGGAACAAGAGAACCCCCACCCACAGCCCCACGCCCACGGAGCUACAGCAGGUGGCUGGGCCUGUGGCUGCCAUCUCUCUGAGUCCAGAACAGCCUUGUUCCCCAAAUGAGACCUUCUCCCAUUUAUCGGGAGAAGAAAGAAGGCAGAGACUAUGGCGUGUGGCCUCCCCCACCCCACAGCACCCAAGCCUGCCCACCUGUGGCUCUAACUAAACCAUUUUAUGCAGCUCAGAAAUCUAAUGUCAAGGACUAGGUCUGUUCUGCCAAACAAAAGAUGUCUCUGUACUACUAA